ensembl:ncRNA lncRNA:CR44938 long non-coding RNA:CR44938
CGACGCAGAAGCUCAAGGCGAGCAGCAACAACAAAAGUCAGCGGCAUACAAUAAAACACGUGAAACGUGACAAAUUCCAAAGCGAAACAGAAGUCAACUGGGCGGCGGCUGCGUGAGCGAGAGAGAGAGCGCAAGAGAGCGCAAACUGAUAACCGGCGCUUGGCAACAACAAUCCCAAAGCAAACAACACUCACAUAUACUCUCUACUCGGCCGACAUUUUGUUUUUAUUACAGAGCGCAACAGUCGCGACUUUUGUUGUUGUUUCUGUGAGGGCUUCACUUUAAAAAACGAAAUAAUAAUCAAACGCUACAUUGGCCCCCUCUCUCUCUCACACUCUUGAUCCAUUUGCUUUUCGUUUUUAAUCGAGACACGUUGAAAGUGGCAAACUCACUAAAAAGUACAAAAAAAUAAUAAUAAAUAACAACUCAAAAUUCGUGGCGCAUGACGUAAUUUCUCACGCGAGCCGAGCAUGUCAGCGAUUUGGCACACACACAAGCGCACAUCUACACACACUCACACGCACACCAUUGCAGCACUCAGGUCACACCAACACAACGACAGGGUCCGUAAGCCGUACUCCACACUCCGUAAGCCAUAAAUCUGGUAAAUGUGAUCUGCGAUGACGGAUGACGAAUAACUCAGACGUGUCCAAUUGGGCACUGGGCUCUUGCAUAAGAGCGGAGCUUGUUUUUGUUUUGGUUUCGGCAUUUCGGCGAUCUCUCGCUUUAAUUUCAGUGCGGCACGUGCAUCUGGUGUCGCCUUGUACGGCGUUAUGUAUACGCCCCGUUCGGAUGUUACACAUACGACCGGUUGGUUGCUUGCAGGGCACGUGCAAAGGCACAAAAACUGGCUCGGGUUACUCAUGUGCCACAUUCUCGUAAUAACGCGUCACCCCCUCCCCGCACUCCGUGCAAUCUUAUCGCACUUGUAAUACAUUUACUUGCUCACAUGCUCCGACGUUUUUUUGGUCACGUGUUGUUCAUCGAAAUUGUUACGUAGUUCGGUGAAUUUCCACGAAUUGAAAUGCAAUCAAAGCUGGAGUGCGGUGCAACUGCCGGAGAAAUUUAUUCGUUUUCAUAAUGCAGCAAAUGUGGCUAAAAUGGAGUUGAAACUGUGUGACGAGCCCCGUGCACUUGCGGAGUGCUUACGUGUUUUCUCGAGUUUUCCAGCAGCUUAUCUAUCUUCGUCUGUAUUUGCUGUUUACCCCGAUUGCAUGGCUAAAGUUUAAUCACGAAAGCCGGAGGAAAACCCCAAACGACAACAAUUGCGACUGGCGGACCUGGUAAAACUAUUUUUAAGAUACUUUUGUAAGCACUGCAUUGGGGAAUCGGCUGUGAAAUGAAAUGGAAUGUUAAAUAGAAAUUAAAUAAAUAAACAAUGGAAAUAGAAAGACUAUUGCUUACAGCACGGAACUGCUCACAUUCCAAUUGUGGGUUAGGAAUUUUGUUAUAUCUUCGG